rnacentral:misc_RNA from 1 species
UCGUAACAAGGUUUCCGUAGGUGAACCUGCGGAAGGAUCAUUACUGAUUUGCUUAAUUGCACCACAUGUGUUUUUCUUUGAAACAAACUUGCUUUGGCGGUGGGCCCAGCCUGCCGCCAGAGGUCUAAACUUACAACCAAUUUUUUAUCAACUUGUCACACCAGAUUAUUACUAAUAGUCAAAACUUUCAACAACGGAUCUCUUGGUUCUCGCAUCGAUGAAGAACGCAGCGAAAUGCGAUACGUAAUAUGAAUUGCAGAUAUUCGUGAAUCAUCGAAUCUUUGAACGCACAUUGCGCCCUCUGGUAUUCCGGAGGGCAUGCCUGUUUGAGCGUCGUUUCUCCCUCAAACCGCUGGGUUUGGUGUUGAGCAAUACGACUUGGGUUUGCUUGAAAGACGGUAGUGGUAAGGCGGGAUCGCUUUGACAAUGGCUUAGGUCUAACCAAAAACAUUGCUUGCGGCGGCAACGUCUACCACGUAUAUCUUCAAACUUUGACCUCAAAUCAGGUAGGACUACCCGCUGAACUUAAGCAUAUCAAUAA